UACGGGGGGGGCAAGCGUUGUUCGGAAUUACUGGGCGUAAAGGGCUCGUAGGCGGCCAACUAAGUCGGAUGUGAAAUCCCCAGGCUUAACCUGGGAACUGCAUCCGAUACUGGAUGGCUUGAAUCCGGGAGAGGGAUGCGGAAUUCCAGGUGUAGCGGUGAAAUGCGUAGAUAUUCGCAAGAACACCAGUGGCGAAGGCGGCUCACUGGCCCGAUACUGACGCUGAGGCACGAAAGCGUGGGGAGCAAAAGGG
rnacentral:rRNA from 1 species